UACAGAGGGUGCGAGCGUUAAUCGGAAUUACUGGGCGUAAAGCGCACGUAGGCGGCUUGGUAUGUCGGGUGUGAAAUCCCCAGGCUCAACUUGGGAACUGCAUCCGAUACUGGAUGGCUUGAAUUCGGGAGAGGGAUGCAGAAUUCCAGGUGUAGCGGUGAAAUGCGUAGAUAUCUGGAGGAACACCGGUGGCGAAGGCGGCAUCCUGGACCGAGAUUGACGCUGAGGCGCGAAAGCCAGGGGAGCAAACGGG
rnacentral:rRNA from 1 species